rnacentral:lncRNA from 7 species
ACUGGCACUAGGGAGGGAUCUUUUUCUCGUGAUUCCUUCCUUUGAAGUUUUCUACUGUAAGCUUAGGACACAAAGGUGGGUCAAUGCCCCAUGUGUCUACAUGGCAGGAUAACUUCAGUGAUGGAGAAAUCUUGAAGUCCUGGCUAUUGCUUUCAGAUGACCCCACAGGUCUUCUCAAGGCAUUUUCUGACAGGAUGAAGAGGAGAAACAGCAGUGGUGAUGGGGUGACUAUAUGAAGACAUGCACAAGGACUGUGACAAGAACAGUCUUCACUGAUGCAACUUAAACUGCUGUAGAUGGACAUAAAAGUCUCACCCAGCAAAAUUUCCGUCCUGUGGAGAAGAACUCAAACUCCUGCAUGCUCUGAGAAUCUCCCAUUUUGCUUUUUCCCUGUCUUUGAAAGAAUAAUAAAUAAGGCUUCUUAAUAAGUCAUGAAUUAAUUACAAAGUGCAUGACAAACGUUAUCGGAAGAAAUUAAGUCCAUGCUCCUUGCUACGGCUGAAUCGAGGUGUCUGUCAUAUCUUGACUUCAUGGCAGAACGCAUUCUGAAAUUAAGAUGAAUAACUUAAUUUCUAGCUUCCAAUGAUUCGUCCUCAUAUACUGCAAAAAGGGCAAAGCAGAAGGGAGGGAGGAAAGAUUAAAAAGAGCAGUGCCAGUUAUUUGGGGAAGUCAUUGUUUGUCUGCAUUUGGGAAGAAAGGGACACCAUUUGGCAGCAUGGCAUGUCACUGUUUUGGUUCCAGCUGAUGAUCAUUGUGUGAAUUGAGCUGUAAGGAGAGCUGCCCAUUGACCAGCAUUGAUUGCUGUUGUCGACAGGUGCUAAUGUUCAUAGGGCAGAUCACAGCUGCUUGCACAGGGUUCCCAUUAUCCUUUGCUGGGUAUUGAUUCUCCCUGUGGGAUGUUUCCUUCCUAGCUGUGUUAAUUUUCAGAGCACAUAUUUGCAUUGGUUUGUGCUGAGAGGGAUAGUCAGAGGUGCCUUGGAUAUGUUUAAUGGCCUUACCCCCUCCCCUUUUACCCCCAAUCCCGUGAGUCUUUAGAGACUACGUCUGUUGGGAUCCAAGUUUCCUCUAAUUAUGGUGCACAUUAAGGGACAGGCUCUAUGAAGAAUAUCAUUACUAUUCCUGUAAUUGCUUCAGGUGCACUCAAAAAUUAAUCAGAAAGCACACAAUGGGUUUUUUGUUUUGGUGUGGAUUUUAUUUUGAGUCCUUUCUGAGCCUAAAGACUUGCUGCCUAUGUAUAGAGCUUAUACAAGUGUAACAUGGAAGGGAUGGGAAAGUAGAUCAGGAGGAUGCCAGGGCAGGGACUAUUGCUUCCUUUCAGCACUAUUUUGGUGAUGCACACAAUUGAUUAACUGAUGGACCUCAGUUACCUGCAAACCAGAAUGUUAAUGCAAUGCAUUCCUUUUGCAUUGGUAUAAAUAGCUUUCAGUGUUGAGUGGAUUUGUCUAUUGGCAGGUGUCUGAACUGCGCCCAGAGCUGUGGUAGGAUCUUGCAGAGUCUUUUGGUACUGUAUAAGAGUUGUUAUAGGAAUGGCAUCUUAUCCAUCUACCUUAAUGAGUCAAAGAAACCUAAAUUAUCUUUUGUUUUGUUUUGUUUUUUCUUUUUUUUUUUUUUUUCUGAAAAGGAGGUAGUGCUACGAGUAACAGCAAAAAUAUUCAGCGAAUGAGACUUUUCCUUAGUUUUGGCAAGUGUAAUUACCAUCGUGCAAAUGCUGUCUCCACAUAUGAAAAAAUGUUAUAAAUUUUGUCUCUGUAACAUGGAAAUGGAACAACUAAUUUAGGUUCACUGAAUAAAGUAUAGCUUUGCUC